CCAUUGCUCUGACAGCACAUCAAAGCUCCAGAGAACCCAGAAGGUUGAGUUAGAGCAGCUUGGUGAAGACUCAGACAGUGGCUGAGAUGGAUGUAUCUGUGUAAGGAAUAAAGGGAAUAGAUGAUAUCCUUGCUCUGAAACUUUCAGAAAAGUUAAAUGGGUACAAGGACAUCUCAAGGAGUCAUUUCAGAAAUGGAGUGCAGACUUCAGCUGAGAAGAAAAGAGCAAAAGGAGGGAGCUGUGGCUUGCUGAAAGGAUAAGCCAAGUUGUGGAGGGUAGAAGAGGAAGCCAUGUACUCUACCUACCGAAGAAGGAGUGAACAAAAGGCCCAAAUGCCACAGUUUGAAGGAAGAGAGGAAAAGAGAAUGGACAGAGGGAUGGAUCCUUGCUUCAUGUUCUGCAGGACAAAGGAACUCUUCCAAAGGAGAAUGAAUUGCUUUGCAAGGCACUGGGGAAAGGAUGUGUGUGAGUUCUGCUCCAAUAAAAUGCUGAAACAUGGGAG